UGGCAUGAUCAGCCAUUGUGUUGCUGUUGACUUUCAGUGGUAAAAAAAGAAGAGGAUCCAUUGGUUGCCCUCAUGUACCAGCAGUCAUAAAAUAGAUGAUGAUGAUGAUGAUAGCCAUCAUAAACUUACAGUGUCAAGUAAUGGCUUCUGAUUGUCCUCCUCAACAUCAUCUUCUGAACUGCAUUCUUCCAUUGUUUCACCAUUUGCAAAAUAAAUAAUCUUUCUGGGAGAUUUAUUAUCCUUUAGAGUAUCAUCUCCCAGUUCCCGUCCAUCAUUCACUGUUCCUUCCUUUAGAGGUUUUUGGGAAUUGUCCAUCACGGAAAUAAUAUCUGAUUAAAAUAAUGCUGAGAUAGAAGAUGUAUAACACAUCACUGGGUGUCCAUGCAGAGAAAUCUUGGAAAGAAGAGCAUUUCAAAGGAGGCCAGCUGACAAAAAGC